GGUUUAAGGCUGUUAAAUGCCAAAAAAGGGGAAGAAUGGAAUGACACAGAUCUGGUUCAUGGCGAUGGUGAUUCCAGCGAGAGAUCUGGCGGGCAGAGUCAAUUUGGUAGUGGUUUUGGAUGGAAUGAUGGAUUACCGGUGAGUUGUCACCGGAAUAGACCCAUAUGUAUUGGAUUUUUGGGUUUUUCGGUAGAUCUUCACCGAAAUUGCAUGAAUGGAGUCAUUUUGA
rnacentral:lncRNA from 1 species